CUUGCGCUGCCCAUCGCAUUUGUCGCAUUUUGCGAUUUUUCAGGGGAAAAUGCGACACGGACAUUUCAUAUUUUAGAAAUCGCGACGCCAUCUUGGAUUUCAGCUGUUGGCAUCCAAACAGCCCCAGGGCUGUUUUACCUGUGCAGAAUGUGGAUACCCUGCCGCAUGGGAACAAUAGACAUAGUGGUGUCUUGUUUAUUUAGCAGUUUACACAAGACAAAAGGUUGAUCCUCUGUGUGCAGACUUCCCGAGUUCCCUUCUCUACAACAUGAUGAUAUUUACUAAAGGACUGCCUUGCCAUUCAAGAUUUCAAGAUGAAAACAGGAUUCUUCAGUGAAUUCUUUGAAGAAUGUGAUGUUGUGAAACUAUGAUGAUGUGUUAUGUAUUACAGUAAUUAAUCUUCAGUAACUUUGUCAUCAGUGACUUUUUAUAGACUGCAAAUUUAAUGUUAAUGAUGAGUAUUAUAUGUCAUUUGCACUACUAACAUGAUUAAUAAACAUAUAGAAACUC